AUUGAACGCUAGCGGGAUGCUUUACACAUGCAAGUCGCACGAGUGGCGGACGGGUGAGUAAUAUAUCGGAACGUGCCCCGUAGCGGGGGAUAACUCCUGGAAACGGUAGCUAAUACCGCAUACCAUCAGAUGAACCCAUAUGGGAUUAGCUUGUAGGUGAGGUAACGGCUCACCUAGGCGACGAUCCCUAGCUGGGCUGAGAGGAUGAGCAGACACACUGGGACUGAGACACGGCCCAGACUCCUACGGGAGGCAGCAGUGGGGAAUAUUGCACAAUGGGCGCAAGCCUGAUGCAGCCAUGCCGCGUGUAGGAAGAAGGCCUUCGGGUUGUAAAGUACUUUCAGUAGGGAGGCGUUACCGAAAGAAGAAGCACCGGCUAACUCCGUGCCAGCAGCCGCGGUAAUUC
rnacentral:rRNA from 1 species